rnacentral:rRNA from 1 species
CUACGGAGGGUGCGAGCGUUAUUCGGAAUCACUGGGCGUAAAGGACGCGUAGGCGGGUUGGCAAGUCAGAUGUGAAAUCCUACAGCUUAACUGUAGAACUGCAUUUGAAACUGCUAACCUAGAGUAUGGGAGGGGGAGAUGGAAUUAGUGGUGUAGGGGUAAAAUCCGUAGAUAUCACUAGGAAUACCGAAAGCGAAGGCGAUCUCCUGGAACAUAACUGACGCUAAGGCGUGAAAGCGUGGGGAGCAAACAGGAUUAGAAACCCUAGUAGUCC